ensembl:lncRNA
UACCAAUGGAGCCCGGCCCGCGGCCCCAUCACCCGCCAGGACGCCGCGCCCCGCGGGCCGGGGAGAAGGACGGAGGGAGGGAGGAGGGAGCAGGAGUAACGGGGCGCCGGGCCGAGGAGAAGGGCAGGUGGGGGAGCGGCCUCCGCGGGCUCGGCCUCGCGCCCCCCUGGCUACCUGGGAGGCCAGCCGCUGCCGCGCGCCGUCCAGCCGGGACCUGCCGCCGGGAGCGCCGCGGGCGUCGGAAGCCCUGCGGGCCGCGGAACCACUAGCAAGCGGGUUGAGCGGGAGACGCUCGCGGAGCAGGAGGCGCGGGAGGCGGGGCGCCACGGCCCGGGGCCGCCAGGUCACGUGGCCCGGGCCGCCCCACGUGACGCCGACGCUGCGCGCGGGCCUGCGCUCGGGGAGGCCGUACACCCGGCCCCGCCUAGGGCCCCGCCGCUCGCGCCUCGGCGGCUGGCCGGGACUUCGCUAGAAGCCGAUUGGCCGUCCGAGUCCAGCCCCCAGGUUCUGCAGAGAGUCGCGGAGGAGCUUGGUGGCUGGUGGCGCUCGCAGGGUUUGUCUCUCAGGGAACCAGGGACGCGCUCCUGCCGUCCUCCUGGGCCAGCGGACCAGCCCUCCGCACCCCCAAGGGAUCCAGAGCUGAAAAGCGCCUGGAAACUCCUCUCCCUGAUCCGUCGCGCGCCCUGCGCAUUCUAGGCACUACCCAGGGGUCUUUGCCGGGGACAGAGGGCCUCGGAGGAGAGACUCGUUUAACUCCAGAGACGUAGCCCCUCUACCCACCUACUGGUCGAAAAGCGCCUAAGUAAGGCCGGGGGAUGGGGAAGGCGGCAGCUGCACCAAGACCAGAAGGAAGGAGGGGGCUGAGGAACCGCGCCCAGGUGGUGGAAGAACCAGGUGAAUUCCCUUUGCUCACCAUGCAAAUGCAUUAAAUAAACAAACAAGGACAGGAUAACAGUCUUCUUGGGGGCAAUGUUGCAGGCUACAAACUGAAACCCUUUGUGAUCUGGCACAGUGAGAACCUCAAGGCCUUUACAAAUAACAAUAAGCACACACUGCCAUUGACUACAGGAGAAAUAAGAAGUCACGGAUGACCCGGUUCCUCUUCCAAGCUGCCUCCUGAAUUGCUAUGCCAGAGAAAUGGAGAAUAACACACCUUUCAAGAUUUUGCUUAUUUGAUAAAGCUCCCAGACAACCUCUUUUUGUUGGUGUUCCUCAUCCCAAUAUCAAAAUGGUGUUUCUUCCUCCAAACACUACUUCUUUCAUCCAACCAAUGGAUCAAAGAGUUAUAACAGCUUUUAAGGCCUGCUACCUGAAGAGGACCUUUGUCCAGACUAUUGCCGCAACUGAGGGAGAACUGAGAAGACACUGAGGCAAUUCUGGAAGGAUUACAACAUCUAUGACUGCAUCAAGAACCUUGCUUGUGCAUGGGGUUAUGUCACCAAGGAGUGUAUGAAUGGCAUCUGAAAGAAGUUACUUAAGAGGUUCAUUCAUGACUUCAAAAGAUUUGCCAAGGAUGAGGAGGUUGUAAAAAUCAACAAGGCUCUGGUUGAGACGGCAGACAACUUUACCCUGAGUGUGGAUGAGGAUGACACUGAGGAACUCCUAGAGGUGGCUCCUGAGGAACUGACUAGUGAGGACUUGUUGGAACUGGAACAGGAGUGCGUAGCUGAAGAAGAGGCAAGAGAAAAGGAAACUGCAGGAGAAGAAAGAGAAGAACCCACAGUGACGGGGUUUAGCAGGAGCUUUUGCAGACCUCAACAAGCUCCUUAAAAUGUGUGAAAACAUAGACCCCCAACACUGAAAGGUUUUCAUUCAUAGAGAGGAACGUUCACGGUGCAUUACCUGCUUACAAGCAAAUCUAUAAUGAAUAAAAGAAACAAACCAAGCAAACCACCAUGGACACAUUUCUGAAAAGAAUGACACCUUCUAAAGAAGAGCCUCAGGCAGGUUCGUCAGGAGAAGAAGGCAUUGUUAGCACAGGUGAUGACAGCUCCAUGAGUGUUACUGUCCCUGAAGACCUUCCAGUGGGAGAAGAUGUGGAGGUGGAAGCCAGUGAUAUUGAUCAUCCUGACCCUGUGUAGGCCUAGGCUAAUGUGUGUGUUUAUGUCUUCAUUUUUAACAAAAAAGUUUAAAAAGGAAAAACAUAAAAAGUGUUAAAAAUGCGAAAAAGCUUAUAGAAUAAGGAUAUAAAUAAAACAUUUUUGUACAGCUAUUCAAUAUGUUUGUGUUUUAAGCUAAGUGUUAUUACAAAAGAGUCAAAAAGUUUAUAAAGGAAAAAAGUGACAAUAAGCUAAGUUUAAUUUAUUAUUGAAGAAAGAAAAAUAUUUUUUAUAAAUGUAAUAUAGCCUAAGUGUACAGUGUUUAUAAAGUCUACACUGGCGUACAGUAAUGUCCUAGCCUUCACGUUCACUCAUGGACUCACCUGAAGCAACUUCCAGUCCUGCAAGCUCCAGUCAAGGCAAAGAAACUGAGACACAGAGAAAUUCAGGAACAAGUCUGAAGUGACACAGCAGAUAAGCAGUGGAUGCCAAGUGUGUCCCCAGAUGGACUAAAACUAAAGCCCACCGCGUUACCCUCUGCUCCGCGGUGCCUCCCCGGACUGCAGCCCUUCUAAGCUCCCCAUGUGAGAGUGUCCAAUGAGAAGCUCCCCUCCUUGUUGAGCUGAAG